rnacentral:rRNA from 1 species
CCCCCAGUAACGGCGAGUGAAGCGGGAAGAGCCCAGGUUGAAAAUUUAGGCGUUUUAGUGUCUAAAAUUGUAGUCUAGAGACGGUGUUUCCAGUUGUUGGUAUGUGCUUUAGGUUCCUUGGAAGAGGACGCCAUAGAGGGUGAGAGUCCCGUUUAGGCACGUGUUGGCAGCGUCCGGGUAUUGUUCUACGAGUCGAGUUGCUUGGGACUGCAGCUCCAAGUUGGUGGUAAAUUCCAUCAAAGGCUAAAUAGCGGCGAGAGACCGAUAGCGAACAAGUAGCGUGAGCGAAAGAUGACAAGAACUUUGAAAAGAGAGUGAAAGAGUACCUGAAAUCGUUGAAAGGGAAGGGUUUGCGUCCAGUGUUGGUUUUGCGUGUGGUUGUCCGUUGUUGCGAAAGAGCGGAUUGCCGUGCGUGGGACAGUCUCUGCCCGGCGUGGCGUUGUGGGGAGAGUGAUGGGGAGUGGUGUGCUCUUGUGGUACGCGCCUCCAUUCCACCCCCUCGAUCCGCGUUUUCAAAUCCAUGCCAUUUUCAGUGUCCACGGAUAGCUCGAAUGACAUAGAGGGCCAGAGGAAAUGUACGUUGACCGCCCGUCUUGAAACACGGACCAAGGAGUCUAAGAUGCGUGCGAGUGUUAGGGUGUUGAAAGCCGUGACGCGCAAUGAAAGUGAUAGGUGCUAUGGGGCGGAGGAAGUCCGUCCCGGCAACAUCGGCCGCUUUUGUUUCUCGAAGCAAAAAGUGAGUUGGAGCAUGUAUGUUGGGACCCGAAAGAUGGUGAUCUAUGCUUGUGUAGGGCGAAGCCAGGUGAAAAGCUGGUGGAGGUCCGCAAACGGUUCUGACGUGCAAAUCGAUCG